UCACAGCCACAGGACUCUAGGAUUCCUACUGCCCUGUUAACUCAUUUCGCCCGUGACAAUGUUCUUGGCUUUAAGUCGUGUUGCAAUCGCAAGAGGUGCCCAGAUUUCGGCAACCCUUCUGUGUUAUUCUACAGACAACACGCCUCCCAUGUCACGGACCACUCCAGCUCGCAAUGGAGCAAUACCCCGCCUGAUACAGGGCCACAUUCUAGCGGGACACCAAACAAACCUUUGUUCCAAAUGUAAGGCCGGUCCCUUUAAGUAGCACUGCUUUUAAAGUCCUUCUGGAUUUUCUACUGCUGUUUUUAAGCUUAGUGUGUUGUUUUAGUGUCUAAUUCUCCACCCGAGGCCCCGUUCUUUUAAGCCCAGUUAUCUCAAGUGAAAUAGAAUGAGAACGAAUAAUGUUUAAAGCCUGUACACAGGGGCCCUGCAUCGGUCAGGUGAUCUCUGCCAGGUGCCAGGCUCGAGAUGAAUGGCUGGCUUGUUCCGUGGCGGGCUGGUGAAGGUUCUCCAGCUUCCCAAGCCAGUUUAGUCAGGUAAGUUCCACAGCUAACUGUUGUGUGGGCUGGUCAUGUGGGCACCUCGCUUUUGACCCAGAACAGCUUAUCUUUCACAGGACCCACCGGGAAUUGGGCAGAGACAGGAGAAAGAAUCAAAUUCCAACCUGGUCGGAACGACACAAGGGCCCACGAUUUCCAGGCUUAAAAGAGGCCUCGGGUCUUGUGAACCCACAGCCCCUGGGGCCACCGUUCUGUCAUGCGUCGCAGAAGCACACCACGUUCAACACGUCUUGAUUUUUGGAUGUUUUCCCAUGUGAAAUUAACUGAGCAAAAAAAUAACAGGAAGCAUUUUUCUCAGCUUCUCCUCUUUGGAAGGCAGAAGGAACUCAAAACACAGCAACUGCCACCACUCCAGGUUCUGGGGGUUUCUGGAGGCCACACCAAACCGUGGAGGGAAUCAGCCUGAGUCUGGGAAGACUACAUGACAGUAAGUUAGGGAGACUACAGAGAAACAACUCAAGAGGGUUAAGCUACCACACCGUUACCUAACUGGGUCGUGAGUUCAACUCCUCCUGUAGCUGGGAGGAGAGAGGAUUUAGGGGGUCCACAAAGGUCUGUCUAACCUGUUUUUACAGUAGCAUCAACACCGAGCUUAGCAGGGGACAUGCACAGAAGUAACUGUCACACAUUAACAUCCAGUGUCUCGUGGAGUUCACAGAGCUACACCCCCAAUACUGCUUCCCCCUAGGACUUCAGAGAACCCUGUUGGAAGCUCCCCUUCCGACCCAAUUCAGGGUGCAUGUUCUCCUUUCAUGAGAAGCCUCACAGCAAAUGAUGGGCAAGGAGCAGGCGGAGGGGUGAAAAGCCUCAGGGUCAGUGUUUCGGGAGGAUGGAGGUUUUAGACAGGGUUUCUCUCUCUGUGCAGCCUGGCUCUCCUGGAACUCGCUGGGUAGACCAGCUAGCCCCCAGCUGUAAGGCUAGCGAUGUCCACAGGAAACUCAUUCAGAGAUAAGGCGGCUACAGACAGGAUACGCUCUUCUGUGUGGUUUGAAGUGGAGUUUCUAUUUUCCAACUAAACACCGGAGGCCACGGGUCAAAGGGGCAAAAUCAUACUCACCAGGGCAGAACAAGGAAACUGCUUCUGCACCAAGCUCCGCCUCCAGUGUGACCGACCACAGUGUGUUACACUGUGAAGUCCCUUGACCAUCCACACGAAGUCUUUUUAGUCACAGAUCCCAGAGAUUAAGAGGAAAACAACGUGGGGCCGUCAUCCUGCUGACCACAUCCCCAAAAUAAGCCGGCGAGAUCACUGUCCUCCUUGGUUCCCUAUUUUCAAAACUGGGAACUAAAUGGAACUGUCUGGAGCAUCAGCUUGGGAAGCUCUCCAGCUGUGGGCCACAGGGUUGAACAGGAAGUCAUAUGGUUCACAGUGCCCAGGACAAGAAGAAAAUGUGUCAAUCUGUGGACUUGACCCUAGAAAAGAAACAUUAAAUUGGUCCUCCCACCUCA